CCUAAUACCCCUCUCUCUCCCUCUCUGAGUUCCAGCGCCGCCACCACCCCUCUGAGUUCCAGCGCCGUCACCAUCAACAGUAGCGUCACCUUCUCAGCUUCUCUGUCAUCGUGGUGUCGUCAAAUCCGCCUCUGUCCUCGUCGUUGUUGGCCGUCCCUCUUCUCCUCCUGGAUCCCUUCCCCUCGCAUCGCCGGGUCUGCUCGGAGCUGUUGUUGGUGUCGUCAAGCCACUUCUGUCCUUGUCGUCGUCGGCCUCCAUGAACUGGUCUCUGUACUCGUCGUCUUUCCCCGUCUUUGUCUUCGAUCCCUUUCUCUGUCGAGCUCACGGCGAAGUUCGAACGUUACUUUCUGCCGCCGUGGACUUUUCGCUCAAUCUGCCGCCGUAGAAAAUUACAGAGUUUGAGCCGGCAGUUUCGGUUCGCACUGCGGUAGCACUCAGUAGCAGUAGUACCUCCGCCGAGCAAAUCCACAAUCCGAACACCUAUGGCUGUUCCUCCAAUUGAUCCUCCUUCCAAUCGGAACCGAGAGAAAACGUUGCUUGUAGCAUUUCCAGGUUUGGCCAUUAAUUAAUACUAUAAAGCUGAAUCAUCAUAAAUUUUAAAGAACUAGUGGGCUAAGACUCUUCUAAUACUUCAGUGGCACUUCUAUUCAGACUUUAAUGGUGCCAACUGCCAACUUCCCUAGCAAGUAAGUUUCUGAACUUUCUAACUUCCUUUGAUAAUAUAUAUAGUUUCCAAGUAGGUAGUUUUUGAUGUUUCAGACUGUUCUAUGUCUCUAAUAGAAAGUAGCAUGUUGUGUGAUGCAAUGAGCUGCAUACUUGUUCCUGGACGAGGAUUUCAGUAACUAUGGGUAAGGCUGCAGCUGCAGGGCUAGUUUGAUUCUGCAGCUAUUUUGUUCUGCAAUGCCCAGUAUUUAGAGUGCUAUAAAUUGAGUUUUGUGUCUCGGGUUUCCUGAUGACAAGGAAUUAUCAAUAAUACAUUACAUUUCAUUAGGUUUGACAUUGCUUUUGUAGUCUUUGAUAAAUUUGAAAAUUGGAUCCAUAAAAUAUUUGGAAGUGUUAAAAUAGAAUUAGAUGCAGCAUCUAGUUAUUAAAACAUCAGUAAAAAAUUUAAAAUACGGCUACCUUAAGAACUAGUUAGGCAUAUAGAUAAAUGAUAGAUAUGUCAUUAGACAAGCUUAAUCAUAUAUACUAAAUUAUGAUCGCUUUGAAAAGAUGGCAUUUAAGGCUGUAAACUUUUGUUGAGAAACAAAGGAGGCCACUCCAUAAUGACUCAAUGUUAUUUUUAUCAAGGAUGAAAUGAAGAAUUCUCUUACUAGUUUUGCCUCCUUGUACACUUGGGAUUAAAAAAGAGGUCAAGCCAUAACUCACUUAUCUUUUGUUGACUGUCGGCUAUUCUUUUCCUUUUCAUUUUUUUUUGUCAAGUGGAUUACAAGUGAAUCUUAUAAUCUUUAUACUGGUGCUGAUUUGGUAAUCCAUAUAGUAUGUGCUUUGAAGCUGCUUCAUCUUUUAUUUUGCAGCUGGAUAUGCUACAAGAGGAGAAUGAGGUUAUAUUAGAAAAGGUGGUGCUCUUCUGGCCUAACAAAGUGGAGGCCAGAGCUAGGAAGCUUGAGAAACAGUUUGCUGAGAUUGGGGUUGGAGUUGGGUUGCUGAAUUUUCUAUUCAGGUUUUGUUCUUGAUAAUUUGCUGGAUUGAGAUUGAGAUUGAAAUUGAGAUUGCUCGUCUCUUGAUAUUGGGUUGCUGAUUUUCUAUUCAAGUCUUGUUCUGGUUAAUUUGCUAAUUUGUUGUUGCGAUCCUUGAGAUUGAGACUGCCCUUGUUUCUUGUUAUUCGGUUGCCAUCACUGAACCUUGUAUUUGUUGUUAGUAUUGCCGUGCUCUCCGCACCUCUGCUCCAGGCCACUUCCUCUCUGGUUUUGCUGCAUCUAGCCCUCCGUCGUACCUCUGUGCCUUGAAAGGUACUUUUUACUGUGAUUAUUUUAAUUGGUUUACGGAUUGUUAGGUUGUUAUUAUUGUAAUUUAGGAUUCUUGAUCAUGUUGAUUCUGUUAUGUUGUUUUGUUCUUAUUUUUUUGCGUAAAUUAUAUUUUGUCGUUAAUGUUUUCGAAAUUUUUUCAAAAUUGAUCGUUUAAUUUGUUUCAAUUGGAAUUUGUAUCAAUGAAGAACUGUAAUUGGUACAUUGGCAAGAUUGAACUCAAAAGAGUAGAAAAUGACAGAGUUAUCAUUUUAGAUACAUUAUUGCGCAGUAGUGAAAAUAGGGUUAAAAUUUUGGGAAUAUCAAGUAAUGACAGCGACAAAGUUGAGAGACGAACGUUGUUUUCAGACUUUUUUGACACUCUCAUCGAAUUUUUUUUUACAAGAAUUUUUUUAUUUUUUCGAGAAUAAUGGGGAGAGAUGUGUUUUUAUUAUGAGAAUUAUCACAUGAAUUUAGCAGGGCUCAAGAUUGGAACAAAUUCAAAGUUUAUUUCAAACAAUUUUUACGAGCUCUUUCAAGUUUAUAUGAAGAGAAGAAUACGUGUCAUGGGAAAAUAAGUCAAUAAGUCAGUAUAAUUUUAUAAUAGGGAUAGAACACUUGUUACUGGAGUCGAGGGAAAUCUUUUUCCUGAUUUUAUGGGUAAAGAUGCCAUCGUUACGGAUGAGAUGCAGCAUCUACAUAACAUUUUGUUUUCUUAACCGAAUCUUAGUCCAUCUUUUAAAGAACUUGAUAUGUCCUUAGAUUUUUUUACUAUGGUGAGUUAAUCUAUUCUUUUAAUUAGUAUAUGAUUUUUAUUUGAAUGUCGUAUAUAUUUUAUGAUUUAUUACUAUUAUUCCGGUGUGGAUCAUGGAUGCUGGUGUUUUGUCAUUCAUUUUUUCUUGGAUUUUCACACAUUAUUUUCUUUUGGUCAACUGAUAUUUAAAUGAAUAUUUAAGAAAAUUUUGGCGUGCCAUCAGUAUGAGAGACGCAAUUGGAAAGCAACUUUGAUAUUAGAUAUAUAUGAAAAAUUAGCAAGAUGGAGGGAACAGAAUGAUGCAAAUUUUGAACGGUGUAAGUGCAAAUUAUGGUUAUGAUUCUUGUGAGUUUUUUCGCUUUGCAAGAAACUGUGUAGCUCACCUUAACAUUGUAGUUAAUUAUUUUUUUAUUUAUACUUUUGAAUUUAAUUUAACAUAGUAUUUUGAUAUUUUCACAAGAAUAAAUAUUAUCUAAAUAUUGUUAUAUUUUUUAAAAUUAUAUAUUAAAUAUUAUUUUAUUUUUUUAUAUAAUUUUUUUCUAACAGCCUAAUGUUGGGGUGUGUCAACAAGUUGAAACUUUGACGAGAAUGAUUGAGGAUUUGUACCCUUAUUUUUUUUAUAUGCAUCGUGUGUCGGUGAAAAUUUAUAUUUUUGAUAUGCCUAACGGUUGAAUCCAAGAUUGUACUUCGUGUGUUUGGAUUCAGCCAUUAGAGCAUAUCAAAGAUAUAAAUUUGCCUCAAACACACACUAUGUACUGUGAUAUCCUGUGCAUAGAAAAGUAGAGUAUGAAUCUUCAACUAUUUUCGUCAAAGUUUUAGCUUGUUGACACAUUCCAACAAUAGGCUGCUAGAAAAAAAUUAUAUAAAAAAAUAAAAUAAUAUUUAGUAUAUAAUAUAAAAAAAUAUAACAAUAUUUAGAUAAUACUUAUUUUUGUAAAAAUAUCAAAAUGCUAUGGUUAAAUUAAAUUAAAAAAUAUAAAUAUAAAAAAUAAUUGAUCACAAUGUUAAGGUGAGUUACACAGUUUCUUGCAAAUCGAAGAAACUCACCAGAACCGUAACCAUAAUUUGUACUCGCACCGUUCAAAAUUUGCAUCAUCUCCGGAUAGUUCUCUGUACACUCCAUCUUGCCAAUUUAUCAUAUAUAUCUAAUAGUAUUGAAGUUGCUUUCCAAUUGUCUUUCAGACCGAUGGCACGCCAAAAUUUUCUUAAAUAUUUAUUUAUAUAUUGGUUGGCCAAAAGAAAAUAAUAACGUGUUGAAAAUUCAAGAAGAAAAACGGAUGACAAAACAGGUUCUAUGAUCCACACCUGAAAUAAUAGUAAUAAAUCGUAAAAUAUAUACGAAAUUCAAAUAAAAAUUGUAUACUAAUUAAAAGAAUAGAUUAACUCACCAUAGUAAAAAAUCUAAGAACAUAUCGAGUUCUUUUAAAGAUGGACCGAGAUUUAAUGAAGAAAAUAAAAUGUUACGUAGACGCCGCAUUUUAUUCGUAAGAAUGGCAUUUUUGCCCAUAAAAGAUAAAAAAAUUUCUCUCGACUCUCCGGUAACGAGUGUUUUAUCCCCAUUUAUUACAAAAUUAUACUGGUUUAUUUUUCCAUGACACAUGUUCUUCUCUUCAUUUAAACUUGACAGAGCUCGUAAAAAUUAUUUGAGACAAAACAUCUGCUAAAUUCAUAUGAUAAUUCUCGUUGUAAAAAUCAUCUUUUUCCAUUGUUCUCGAAAAAAAUAAAAGUCGUCGUAAGAAAAAAAGUUCUGAUGAGAUUGUCAAAGAAGUUUGAAAAUAGCGUUUCUAUCUUUCAACUUCUUCGCUGUCAUUAGUUGAUACUUCUAAAAUUUUAACCCUUCUGCUACUACGCAAUGAUGCAUGAAAAAUGAUAACUCUGCACUUUUCUACUCUUUUUGAGUUCAACCUUGUCAAUAUACCAAUUAUAGUUCUCCAUUGAUACUAAUUCACAGUUAGAACAUUUUAAACGUUAAGAUCAAUUUUGAAAAAUUUCGAAAAAUUUUGAAAACAUUGACAACAGAAAAUAUAAUUUACCCAAAAAACAAGGACAACAUAACAGAAUCAGUAAGAAACCUAAACCACAGUAAUAACAAUAAUUGAUUGAAGGAGGAGAAUCACACAGAAAUAACAACCUAACAAUUAUGGUUCUCCAUUGAUACUAAUCCCAAUUGACACAAAUUAAACGUUAAGAUCAAUUUCGAAAACAUUAACGACAAAGAAUAUAAUUUACCAAAAAAAAUAAGGACAACAGAAUAAUAACAUAACAGAAUUAACAAUAAUUGAUUGAAGGAGGAGAAUCACACAGAAAUAACAACCUAACAAUUAUGGUUCUCCAUUGAUACUAAUCCCAAUUGACACAAAUUAAACGUUAAGAUCAAUUUCGAAAACAUUAACGACAAAGAAUAUAAUUUACCAAAAAAAAUAAGGACAACAGAAUAAUAACAUAACAGAAUUAACAAGAACAUGAUCAAGAAUCCUAAACCACACUAAUAACAACAAUAAUUGAAGGAGGAGAAUCAUAAUAAUAACAACCCAACAAUUUGUAAACCAUUUGAAACAAUAAUCACAGUAAAAAGUACCUUUCAGGGCUAGAUAUAGCAAAACUAGAGAAGAGGUGGCUUGGAAUAGAGAAAAGAGGAGCAUGGGAGAACUGGAGCAAAGGGGGUGGAGCUCAACAACAAAAGAAUUUAGCUAAGUAAUUAUUUGAACAAGACAGUAAUAUUCAAGGUUUGCAACCCAAUAACAAGAAACAGAGCAUUUUCAAGCUUAAGGAUUAGCAACAACAAUUUAGCAAUUUAACAAGAAUAAGAAUUGAAUAGAAAAUCAGCAACCCGAUAUCAAGAGACGAGCAAUCUCAAUCUCAAUCCAGCAAAUUAUCAAGAACAAGAACAAGGCCUGAAUAGAAAAUUUAGUAACCCAAUAACCAAAAAUAAGAACAAUCUCAAUCUCAAUCCAACAAAUUGAAACAACCCAAUAAUUAGCAAAAUAACAACGGAACAAGAUCAAGAAUACAUUCACGGUAAAAAAAUAAGGACAACAUAACAGAGUUAAUAGAAACAUGAUCAAGAAUCUUAAACCCCAAUAAUAAUAACAAUAAUUGAAUAACAACAAUAAUUGAAGAAGAAUAAUCACAGUAAUAACAAUUUAACCAUAGUAAACGAAUUAAAACAAUAAUCACAGUAAAAAGUACAUUCCAAGGCAUGCAAGACGAGCAUAGAAGAGCGCAAUGGGGACGACGGCUUCGACCAGAUGCAACGAAGGAGGUGACACUGUGGUGGCUGGACGGAGCAGAAUGGCAGAAGAGAAGAUUUUGCUUUGCUGAGGAAGUGAGGGUCGAAGGAGAUGCUGAGAAGGUGCGAUUGUCGAAUGAGGAAGAAGAGCAGACGACUAAAGGACGAUUGUGGUGCCUGAGCCCGACGAACGGCAACAGUCCUUGCGGUGGUGUUCGAGAAGCUAGGGUUUCAAGGUUUCUUUCUUUGAUUUCUUUCAGGGAAUUAGGGUUUCCUUCUUAGGGUUUCCUUCUUUGAAUUUGAGUGAACAGAAGGGGAAGUCACGCGAUGUGCUAUUCUUUUUCUACUUCUAGGAAAACUGGCCGGGUUUUGGUUAUGUCCAACUGGCCGAUUCAACAGGUCAUGCUUGGUCGAGUCCAAUUGCAAAUGCGUUCGGUUUGUGGUUGGACCCAUUAGACUAGUCAGUCUGGCCCGAUUUCUAGAGCCAUGAUCUUUUAAGCAACAAAUUAUUCAAGGUUCAAUCAGUAACAAAUUCAUACCAGUGAUGAUUUUCAAGAACAAAAAUACUAGUUCAGUGAUAUUUUCAACAACAAAAUCAAAGUGUAGUAAUGUAAUAAAACUGAAAAUGAAAGAACAGAAAAUUUUGUUGAAACUCACCAAAUUGGGGACCGGCUUUUGGUUGCGUGAAGGAAGUUGACAGUAAGACUCGAAGCAAGAAGACGACAACGACGACCAGCCCCGGAAAUUGCUGCUUCUGUCGCUAGCGACUAUGAGCGAAAGGAGGGGGUGCGAUUGAGUGAGAGACGGUAACAAGAGAGAGAGCAACAACGACAAUCAAUCCUAGGACCUGCUGCUUUUGCCACCGGUGAUGACAAGUGCGGAAAGGUGCACGUGUGCGAUUGAAUGCAAGACGGUAAUGACUAACGACAACCUUGAGUGCGAGAGCCAGUAAGCCAUAGUGAGAUAGUGAUGAGAGGAAGUACACGUUUAGGACAUAAGGGUUUUAAUUAAGAAAAACGACGUUUUUUGAAAUUUAAAAAACAAACAUUAAGCAUGAUCCGGUCCAAGUCAUGUCACUGGUUUUGAUAAAAACUGGACGGGUUAAAUUGUUUUUUAUCAGAUUCGAUGUUUAGACGGUACGGCUCAACCUGGCCAAGUGACCGGGUGAUUGAGUUUUCGGUAAAACUGAUUGGGUUGACUGAUAAUUAUGUUUUGUAGCAUCACAAGAGAUUAAUAGAGAGAGCUCCUCCAACGUCUACCUUAUCACACCAGGUCGGUCAUUCAUUAAGAUGAGUGUAAUGUAUUGAUAGAUAAGGUCGGUCAUUCAUUAAGAUGAGUGUAAUGUAUUGAUAUGAAUAGUUUGAUUUCGUUUUACAUCUAAUAAUUCAAAUAAUAAAAAUAGUUUGUCAUUCUUUGUCCUUACAA